UCAAUGCUAAAAGAUCUUCAUCGGCUACAUUGUCCCAUGCAUUUCAUUCGUUCUCGAUUGUGCGUCGCCCACUAUGUAUAUGCUUCGACAGUUGUCCUAGGUCAUUCGAGUCUGAUAAGAUGCAUUAAUGCCUCUCUCUCUUGUCCCAUCCUCCCAUGGGCAAUGCAACAAGACAAAGAAAAGGAAAAAGAGAUGGACAGAGCAAAGGUGGCG
rnacentral:lncRNA from 1 species